CAUCCCACCCUCCUCCCCUCCCUAACCUCACCCUCACCUCCCAAACUUCCAUCAACGGCGUCCCCGUCACCCGCCCAAACCUCUUCGUCAGCGGGCCCACGCCGUCCACGGCGUCGCCGCCCUUUUCCCGCGUCAGUCCAUUGCCUCCGACGGAACCCAACUGGGAUCGCGCUGUCAGGGCCCUAGGAUCGAAGGGCUACGUCCCCUUCGCCAUCGGUCUCAACGCGAUUCUUGAUUCUCUGAAAGAAUCGUCGCCGGAGCAGGUUACGGUGUUCGCUCCGCGGGACAGCGGAUUCGACUACGUGACGUGUGAGGCGUACUUGCUGGAGGGGGCGGUGAGACGACACGUGGCGGUGGGGAGGUUUCUUUACGGAGAGCUGAUGGGGAUGGGGACCGGCGAGGGGGUGAGGACUGUGGCGGGGACCGUUGGAUGCUUAUGAUCACAGGCGGUGAGCGGAGCGGGAGCGCGGUGAAUGUUAACGGGGUCGAGGUUGUUGAGCCGGAGAUUUACGUCGGUGACGGGAUCGUCUUGCACGGGAUCGCACACGAUUUUGGAGUUGAAUUGCUCGGAUUCUGAUCGAGUCCUUGUGGAUGUAAAUACUGGAAGUUUGUGGUGGGGUUUUGAAACGUUGGCUUCUGAUUUUUUGCAAAUUAAGCAUGGAAGUUCCGGUUCUUUUUUGAUAAAUUCGUGAUAGGAUCAUCAGCCAGAACGAGAGCACGAGAAGAACCUUGAGUGGCUUUUCGUGUAAAUUUUUGACUGGAUCGUUAGCUCGGUGAUGUCUAGUUAAAAAAGAACUGUUAAUAAAAAAAAAAUUCACUUUCAGCGGUUAAAAGCUUCGUUUCCGCAUUUGCUUCUUCAGCGAAAAUCUUUGGUAAUUUUCCUUCUUUUUCAUUUUUCUGCUCCACCAAGAUGUUGGCAAUGGUCGAGUCGCCAUUUUUCUACCUAUCAGCGAAAGAAAAGGAUUUAGAGCUUGGUUUCCGCACCAGGCCAAUAAAAGGCCUUGUUUGGCCUAAUAAGAAAAAAAAAAACCCAGUUCUCAUUAAUUGUGGUCUACGACCAGAAUUUGCACGGAUGAACGACGCCCAUUUCUCAUCCUUAUAUUGCAGAGUGUGCCCAAAAUAUGAUGAGCCUCGAAGAAUCAAAGCGAGGGAGGAACUUUCGUAGUUCCAGAGUCUAGAAGAAUCGUUUGCUCGUAGAAGAAUAUACCAGUGAUGAUCAGUCACUCUUCACACGAAUCUCGGCGACAUCAAGCGUGAGAUCGCCUGCGACGAGAUCCCCGAAACCGCCAAGGUAUGUAGGACGACUUAACCAGCCAAGUCAUCAACAACACUCUGUCUCAAAAACAGAGGGAUAGAAACAGACCAAAAAUAAGAGGACAAACAGACAACCAACUUAGCUAGAGCAUGGGCAACACCAUUAUCAGUGUGCCUUACAUAGAAAACUUCAGAGCAGCCAAUAGCAGACAAACCAGCACGAACUUCAUCUGCAAUAGGAGCCAUGGAAGCAAAAGGAGAAUGAGAGUCCACCAAUGAGACAACCCUUAGGGCUUGUUUGGAUUGAGGGGAAUGAGGGUGAAGGGAAGUUAGGGGAACCAUUCACCUCCA